CCUGGCUUUCCAAUGCUCCUGGCCUAGUCUGACCAUUACAGGGCUCUAAGAGAAUUAGAGCCUCAACUAGAGUUUCUACUAAAGGGCUUUCCAAACAGAGGGAACACAAAUUUCCAAAUACAAGAGGUGCUAAAAUGGUUGACUUCAGGCAACCAGAGAACCUGGCAGGAUAUUGGAGGCUGGAGAAGAAGAGAGGUCUGAGGAUUUAUCCUCACAUCGCCUGCCCCCAUCGGGACAGUGGUGUGAAAGCCUAAAGGCAGCACCUGCUCCCAGUAAGGAUGAAGACCGUGGUUAUAACUUUUUGGUUCUCUGAACACUGUUUACACCUGUAUGUACAAGCCUUUCAUUAAACAGCCUUUGCUUCGUUCUUUGAUCCUGUUUUCUGCUGAGACCCUGAUUGCUACGGCACCUCCAGAUGUUGCAAUGGUCCAGAGACAUGUUGCGGCUGAUUGAAAAAGUACGGUCACAGUGUUUUGCAGCUCCAUUGAUAAAGAAACGGCACCUCUUUCCUCAGCCCCAGAAUCUGGGCUCCCCGUGACUUGUUUUGGUGAAAGUGAUGUUAUAGCUUCUGUGCUUACAUCUUGGAACGUCCCUGCCAUCAUAUAAACAAGCUCAGUCUGGUCUACUGGAGGAAGAGAAGCCAAAUAAAGAGAAUCAAGGAGCUCGGCGAACUGCCAGCACGAACUGCCAGACCUGUAAAUGGGCCCAUUUUGGGUAGUUUUGCCCCAGCUGAACUUCUGCCUCGUUGCAGACACACGAUGAAGCCCGGGCGAGGACGAGAACUGUCCAACCAACCCACAGAAUCAUCAGAAAUAAUAAACUCAUUAUUGUUAUUGCACUA